rnacentral:rRNA from 1 species
AUUGAACGCUGGCGGCAGGCCUAACACAUGCAAGUCGAACGAGUGGCGGACGGGUGAGUAAUGUAUGGGGAACUGCCUGAUGGAGGGGGAUAACUACUGGAAACGGUAGCUAAUACCGCAUACUAUCAGAUGGACCCAGAUGGGAUUAGCUAGUAGGUGGGGUAAAGGCUCACCAAGGCGACGAUCCCUAGCUGGUCUGAGAGGAUGACCAGCCACACUGGAACUGAGACACGGUCCAGACUCCUACGGGAGGCAGCAGUGGGGAAUAUUGCACAAUGGGCGCAAGCCUGAUGCAGCCAUGCCGCGUGUAUGAAGAAGGCCUUCGGGUUGUAAAGUACUUUCAGCGGGGAGGCGUUACCCGCAGAAGAAGCACCGGCUAACUCCGUGCCAGCAGCCGCGGUAAUUC